CGGGGUGUAGCGCAGCCAGGUAGCGUACUUGCAUGGGGUGCAAGGGGUCGUGGGUUCAAAUCCCGCCACCCCGA
rnacentral:tRNA from 1 species